UGACGUGUGCUUGUGAGGUUCAGCAAGAUCCCCGCCCUCAAACCCAGACUGCUGUCAUGCAAGAGAGCUGCACACAUAGGGAGAAAAUAUCACACAAUAUGAAUGAUGCCUAAAUAGACUGACCAAAGAAACCAAAGAUGAGUCCAUGAGAAGCAGUUGAGAGAAGAGACAUCCAGUUGGGAAUGAUCUGUCUGAGGCUGACUUGCAUGGAAAGAGAAUAUGAAUAGGGCAGUCAUACAAGCUUUGUAUGCCUCCAGAAAGUGUACAUAAAGCUGGCUGAAAAGAGGAGAAAACAGAAGGCAACAAAAGACAGACAGACAGAGGCAAAGUCAGCCCAAUAUGGAGAAGGGCUGUCAAGAAAGCAACUAAAAUGUAUUGGACAAGAAACAGAAACAAGUAAAUCCAUUCUAAACUGCAACCAUCAAACUGAAAAUAAUAAUACGUUCGAUGUAGUUACAGCAAUAAGAGAUUUUCUAAAGAGGAAGGCAGAUUUCUGAGUUCGAG
rnacentral:lncRNA from 1 species